CCUACGGGUGGCAGCAGUGAGGAAUAUUGGUCAAUGGGCGGAAGCCUGAACCAGCCAAGCAGCGUGCAGGAUGAAGGCCCUACGGGUUGUAAACUGCUUUUAUACGGGAAUAACGCGCCUUACGUGUAGCGCUUUGCUUGUACCGUAUGAAUCAGGACCGGCUAAUUCCGUGCCAGCAGCCGCGGUAAUACGGAGUGGCCGGGCGUUAUCCGGAUUUAUUGGGUUUAAGGGGUGCGUGGGCGGGCUGUUAAGUCAGCGGGAAAAGCUCGGGGCUCAACCCCGGCGAGCGGUUGAAACUGGCUGUCGUGAGAGGACGAGAGGUAUGCGGAAUGCGCGGUGUAGCGGUGAAAUGCGUAGAUAUUGCGAAGAACUCCGAUUGCGAAGGCAGCAUGCUGGAGGCUAUCUGACGCUGAGGCACGAAAGCGUGGGUAGCGAACAGGAUUAGAUACCCGAGUAGUC
rnacentral:rRNA from 1 species